AUUGAACGCUGGCGGCAUGCCUUACACAUGCAAGUCGAACGGCAGCACGGGUGCUUGCACCUGGUGGCGAGUGGCGAAAGGGUGAGUAAUACAUCGGAACAUGUCCUGUAGUGGGGGAUAGCCCGGCGAAAGCCGGAUUAAUACCGCAUACGAUCUACGGAUGAAAGCGGGGGGCCUUCGGGCCUCGCGCUAUAGGGUUGGCCGAUGGCUGAUUAGCUAGUUGGUGGGGUAAAGGCCUACCAAGGCGACGAUCAGUAGCUGGUCUGAGAGGACGACCAGCCACACUGGGACUGAGACACGGCCCAGACUCCUACGGGAGGCAGCAGUGGGGAAUUUUGGACAAUGGGCGAAAGCCUGAUCCAGCAAUGCCGCGUGUGUGAAGAAGGCCUUCGGGUUGUAAAGCACUUUUGUCCGGAAAGAAAUCCUUGGCCCUAAUACGGUCGGGGGAUGACGGUACCGGAAGAAUAAGCACCGGCUAACUACGUG
rnacentral:rRNA from 1 species